rnacentral:lncRNA from 1 species
AUGACAUCAGUACGCUGUUUGAUGCAGCUAGCAGCUCAGUAUGACUUAGAGUUACAUAAGAUGGAUGUCAAAACAGCAUAUCUACAUGCUCCUAUUGACUGUGAAGUGUACAUGGAGCAACCAGAGGGUUUUGAAGUCAGGUCAGAUACAGGUGAGCAACUAGUCUGCAAACUGAACAAGUCACUGUACGGCCUGAAACAGUCAGGAAGGAACUGGAACAAAAUGUUGCAUGAUCACCUUAGUGAAAAUGGUUUUACACAGAACCCAGCUGAUCACUGUGUUUAUAACAAACAAACUGCAACAGAAAGGAUCAUUUUGAUAAUUUGGGUCGAUUAUCUAAGUAUCGCUGCUAGUGAUAGUGACUCACUCACAAGUGUAAAAGAAAUGUUAAGUGAAAAAUUUAAGAUGAAAGAUCUUGGGAGGCUUGGACAUUUCCUAGGCAUUGAUUUUACACAAAGUGAAGGGAAAAUAAGGAUGAACCAAACAAGGUACAUAACCAAGAUCCUGGAAAGGUUUGGUAUGUCAGACUGUAAAACAAGGUCAACACCAUGUGAACAAAAACCAAACUUUGAUGGUGAUGGUGAACUUAUUGAUUCAAAAAGGUAUCGUGAAGUGAUAGGCAGCUUGAUAUAUGUGAUGACAUGUACAAGACCGGAUAUCAGUUGGAUUGUCAGCAAGCUGUCACAAUACCUAUCAGAACCAAAAGAGCACCACUGGAUAACAGCUAAACAUGUGUUGAGGUACUUGAAGGGAACAAUGAAUCAGGAGUUGUGUUACAAAAAGGGGGUGGAAAAACUCAACCUCGUAGCAUAUAGUGAUGCUGAUUGGGCAGCAGAUCAAAGUGACAGACGAAGCAUAACAGGGUAUUGUUUUAGUUUAACUAAAUGUGGACCUGUCAUUUCAUGGAGGUCUAAGAAGCAGCCAACAGUAGCUUUAUCUACAUGUGAAGCAGAGUACAUGGCACUGGCUGCUACUACACAAGAAAGUUUGUACCUUGUACAGUUAUUGGGCGAGAUGGAUAGUGAGUGCCAAUAUACACCAGUAACAAUCUUUGAAGAUAACCAAGGUGCAAUUGCUCUGUCAAAGAACCCAGUAUGUCGUCAGAGAUGUAAACAUGUCGACAUCAGAUAUCAUUUCUUUCGAUCUGCACUCAGUGAUGGUAAAAUAAGUAUUGAAUAUUGUCCAACGGCAGACAUGGCUGCAGAUGUUUUGAUUAAACCUGUAACGAAGUUCAAAAAUGAAAAAUUCUUGGGUUACAUGUUUGGAAUAUAA